GAUGAAGAACGUAGCGAAAUGCGAUACGUAAUGUGAAUUGCAGAAUUCAGUGAAUCAUCGAGUCUUUGAACGCACAUUGCGCCCCCUGGUAUUCCGGGGGGCAUGCCUGUCCGAGCGUCAUUGCUGCCCUCAAGCACGGCUUGUGUGUUGGGCCUCCGUCCUCCUCCCGGGGGACGGGCCCGAAAGGCAGCGGCGGCACCGCGUCCGGUCCUCGAGCGUAUGGGGCUUCGUCACCCGCUCUUGUAGGCCCGGUCGGCGCUUGCCGACACAUCAAUCUUUUUUCCAGGUUGACCUCGGAUCUGGUAGGGAUACCCGCUGAACUUAAGCAUAUCAAUAAGCGGAGGA
rnacentral:misc_RNA from 1 species